UUGUUCACUGUGCGAAUUGUACCGGGGCAAAACUCUGGCUUUUGUCUUGCCCAUUUUGGAAUCUCUGAUGAAUGGGCCUGCAAACCUCAAGGAAGACAGGAUGUGGUAGGCCACCAAGUGUUUUGGAGCUUUUACCUACUAGGGAAUUGGCCAAGCAGGUGUUUCCUGAUUUUGAAGUUUAUGGUGGAGGAGUGGGCUUAACAUCAUGUUGUUUGUAUGGUGGAGCUCCCUAUCAUGCUGAUUUUUCAUAUUACUGCCUUUUGCUGAUUUGGGUAGCAUUGCUGCUUAUUGGGUCAAAACUAGUUUAAGUUGGCUGUUUAGUUUAGAAUCCUGGUAUUGUUUGGAUGGUCAAUGAGCAACAUUUCUUGUUCUUUCACUGUAUGCAUACUGAAAGAUUGUUUGUAAGUGACUUAUUUUAGAAUUUGCCUUCUGUGUAUGUGCGAACAAGCAGUGCACUUGAUGCGCCUCAUUGAACAACAUCCUGGACAACUUGCAAACAAGCGCUUUUCGCAUACAACUUGCAGUCUGUUGCUCAUGCAGUCACAGUAGCUUGUUUAUUUGGGAUGCAUUUUAACUUCCGAACUAAAUUCCUAAUUGCUGGUCAAGGGGAUUGCUGUCUUGAAGAGCGGUGGACUUAUUCAACUAUUUUGGCCAUAUUGGAGUUGCUUAGUUUUAAAACCACAGUUAGUUUUCAGGAUAUAUGCUGGCUAAGAAUGCUGUUGGUUGUACUGAGAAGGGAAGAGGGACAUGCAUAUUGGGCUUGCAUUGCAAUUUUGAGAUUUCAUUCAUGUAAUUGAAAUUAAUUCCUCCUCAAAUUGGUGUUAUAUCCACCAAUCCACCAAUUGCUUGAUAUGGUCUUUGGUGUCUGAAAGAAUAUGUGAUGUUAUUUUCUUAUCAAGUGAGUUACUGAAAUUGUGCCAUUACCCCUCAUUCCAAUUUCUCAUAAGCCUGUCUUCAUGGAUGAAGACGAAGCACCGGUAACAUCUGAUAAUGAAGUAAAAGAUGAGCUUGGAGGCUGGACAGAAUUUAAAGAAUUUGGUAGUGAUGAAGGUCCUGUUAAUGAGGAUGAGGAGGAAUUUAUUCCGGAUGAGACAAUUCAUGAAGCUGCAGUGGGGAAAGGGCUGUUGGGUGCCCUAAAGCUGCUCAAGGAAUAGGGAACACUUAAAGAAACUGUUGAGUGGGAUGGUAGAAACAUGGAUAAGAAAAAAAGCAAGCUCAUAGGCACUGUGCUUUGCUCAGUAUUUGGAGUUCUUGCAGUUUGUCAGAUGCCGAGAGGUAAGUGACGAGGGACUGCAGCAUGUUAUCCACUUUCCUUCUUUGCGGACCUUGCGAUUGGUAAAGUGCCUAGGAGUCACCAAUGAUGGCCUGAAGCCACUUUUGGGACCACAAAAGUUAGAGUUGCUUGUGGUGGAAGAUUGUCCUCAGAUUUCAGAAAGGGGCCUUCAAGGUGCUGCAGAAUAUGUUUCUUUCAGGCAAGACUUGUCAUGGAUGUAUUAAAGCCAUAGGGGCACCCGUUCUGUCCUUGUGUCUAUUGGAUUGAGUAAUAAAAAUAUGUUUUCUUGUAGUUCAAUAGAUUUGUAUAUGAUUCAAAAGAUCGUGCUGUUUAUGUUUAGAGGAAAAACAAUUGUGUUGUCAUUAGUUGCUGGACUGGUGUUGUAUGUCCAUGCCAAGGCAUAUGCCUUGCCUUCUUUUUCGUUGCUUAAGCAAAGCCCCUGUUGAUGAUGUGUAGUUGAAUGCUCUCUUCAUUAAUCCUAUUCAUAAUUUGCUCUA